UUCGGCGGCGCGGGGGCCCUUCACCGGGCCGCCGCUGCCCUCCGGCCCCUAGGGGUCGCUGGGCGCCCGCCGGAGGUACGAAACUCUCAUGCAUUACAGUGGAAUCUCUGAGUGAAAACAAAUAAGUUAAAACUUUCAACAACGGAUCUCUUGGUUCUGGCAUCGAUGAAGAACGCAGCGAAAUGCGAUAAGUAAUGUGAAUUGCAGAAUUCAGUGAAUCAUCGAAUCUUUGAACGCACAUUGCGCCCGGCAGUACUCUGCCGGGCAUGCCUGUUCGAGCGUCAUUUCAACCCUCAAGCCCUGCUUGGUGUUGGGGCCCUACGGCUGCCGUAGGCCCUGAAAGGAAGUGGCGGGCUCGCUACAACUCCGAGCGUAGUAAAUCAUUAUCUCGCUAGGGAGGUUGCGGCGUGCUCCUGCCGUUAAAGACCCCCGGCGAGUGAAGCGGCAACAGCUCAAAUUUGAAAUCUGGCUUCGGCCCGAGUUGUAAUUUGUAGAGGAUGCUUUUGGCGAGGUGCCUUCUGAGUUCCCUGGAACGGGACGCCAGAGAGGGUGAGAGCCCCGUAUAGUCGGACACCUAGCCUCUGUAAAGCUCCUUCGACGAGUCGAGUAGUUUGGGAAUGCUGCUCAAAAUGGGAGGUAUAUCUCUUCUAAAGCUAAAUAUAGGCCAGAGACCGAUAGCGCACAAGUAGAGUGAUCGAAAGAUGAAAAGCACUUUGAAAAGAGGGUUAAAUAGCACGUGAAAUUGUUGAAAGGGAAGCGCUUGUGACCAGACUUGUGCCGGGCUGAUCAUCCAGUGUUCUCACUGGUGCACUCGACCCGGCUCAGGCCAGCGUCGGUUCUCGCGGGGGGAUAAAAGCGCCGGGAACGUGGCUCCUCCGGGAGUGUUAUAGCCCGGCGUUUAAUACCCUCGCGGGGACCGAGGUUCGCGCUCUGCAAGGACGCUGGCAUAAUGGUCAUCAGCGACCCGUCUUGAAACACGGACCAAGGAGUCGAGGUUUUGCGCGAGUGUUUGGGUGUAAAACCCGCACGCGUAAUGAAAGUGAACGUAGGUGAGAGCUUCGGCGCAUCAUCGACCGAUCCUGAUGUAUUCGGAUGGAUUUGAGUAAGAGCGUA
rnacentral:sRNA from 1 species